rnacentral:rRNA from 1 species
UUUCCAGAGAUGGAUUGGUGCCUUCGGGAACUGUGAGACAGGUGCUGCAUGGCUGUCGUCAGCUCGUGUUGUGAAAUGUUGGGUUAAGUCCCGCAACGAGCGCAACCCUUAUCCUUUGUUGCCAGCGGUCCGGCCGGGAACUCAAAGGAGACUGCCAGUGAUAAACUGGAGGAAGGUGGGGAUGACGUCAAGUCAUCAUGGCCCUUACGACCAGGGCUACACACGUGCUACAAUGGCGCAUACAAAGAGAAGCGACCUCGCGAGAGCAAGCGGACCUCAUAAAGUGCGUCGUAGUCCGGAUUGGAGUCUGCAACUCGACUCCAUGAAGUCGGAAUCGCUAGUAAUCGUGGAUCAGAAUGCCACGGUGAAUACGUUCCCGGGCCUUGUACACACCGCCCGUCACACCAUGGGAGUGGGUUGCAAAAGAAGUAGGUAGCUUAACCUUCGGGAGGGCGCUUACCACUUUGUGAUUCAUGACUGGGGUGAAGUCGUAACAAGGUAACCGUAGGGGAACCUGC